UGUGAGAGUUGAACCAAGUUGUGAGGGAUAAUGUUCGGUGCUCUUUCUCUGCAUCUCCUGUUACUGCUGUUCCCAGCUGGCUGCAGGAGUACUCUCGUCUCCCAAUGGGACAACCGCUUGUCUGUUGCAGAGGGGAAGACGGCGGAGGUGCACUGUUACCAAAACGACACUAGCGAUAGCUACAUGUAUUGGUACCGCCAGAUCGGAGGAGCAGGCCUUCAGCUCGUUACCACCUCCAUUUUCGGUUCUGAUAGCACUCCAGAAGACAGUUUCAAGGGGCGCACUGAAGUUAUUAGACCCAGUCAGAAGUUGUGCAGCCUAAAAUUACUGAGCUUGUUGCCGAAUGAUACUGCAAUUUACUACUGCGCUGCAAGUGAUCACAGCGAUUCUAACAGGCUCAGAACUGGUUCAAAAACUUACCAACCUGUUAUCCCAUGA